AUGACGUCGAGUUAGAAAUCGCCAGAACUUUACCAACUAUAAUUUUCAGGUCGAAGCUACAUUGCCGGACUGCAAUCACUUCAACCAGAAGCCGUGUUAUCUUCCCAUCAAAGAUGCGAUAUGCACUUAUGCUUGCGAGAACCGUUUGCCGUGUGGUCAUAUGUGCCAGCUUAAGUGUCAUGUUAACAAAGACCCGGAACAUAUCGAGGUUUUCAGUACAAGUGCUACAGAGAUUGCGAUCGGAUUAAUGACAAUUGUGUGGAAAAUCACACGUGUAAGAAACAAUACUUCGAAGAAUGCGAACUGUGUCCAAAAAUUGUUGCGAAAACUCGCUCUUGCGGACAUCAUUUCAAGCAAUUUGUGUGCUCGAAGAAUGUAGAGGAAAUUGAGUGCGACAGAUCUUGCAAGCGCAAGUUAAUCUGUGGUCACAAGUGUCCGUCGAAAUACUGCGAACCAUGCGGAAGCUGUCCAUUCCCGAAAAAAAAGAUGAGUUCCUGCAGCCAUAUGGUGGAAGUGAAAUGCAGCGAAGAACCAACGCCGUCUAAAUGUAGCGGAAAAUGUCCUAAAUUAUUACCUUACACCCUUAUACUAACAAAUGCAAAGAGGCUUGCACUUCAGACUGCAAGGUCUUGGUGUAUGGGCACUCAUUGAAAGUACCAUGCUAUCUUCAAAAGACAGAUCCAAACUCACGACAAUUAUUGAAGUACUACAAAGCACCGUGCAAAGUCGAAUUGGAGUGUAAGCAUUUAUGCAAAGGAACGUGUGGUUAUGCAAAGAUUACAUAUACACACUACCACAUGAAAAAGAGUUCAGUUCAGCAUCAAACAAAUUGAUAAGCAUCAACAGGUUCACCGACAAAUUAGAAGCCGAAGUCAAAAAGGAUAUAAGCGGCUUGCAGCAUUUCGAAAAACUUAAAGUCGAACGCCAAAUGAUUCACGAGGCAAUGGGCUGCAGCAAGGUCACUGGUAUAAAUGCCCUAACGGACACAUUUAUAUGAUAACUGAGUGUGGCGGUGCAAUGGAAGUAAGCAAGUGCAAUGAAUGUGGAGCCCAAAUAGGUGGCAGUCAGCACCGAUUGUUGAGCAGUAACACCCUGACGACUGAAAUGGAUGGAGCUACAGACCCGCCUGGCCACACGAUCCUAGAGAAUAUCAAUACAUGUAACUUGAAGAUUAUUUUGAACAUAAUAAAUAGUUCGUAUUUUAAAAAAUGUUGAUCGCUAGCUUAUGAGUAUAUUCAAUAUUAUAAUUCUUGCUGUUUAUAAAAUAAAAUUGUGCCUUUUGACUAUUAUUUGUCAUUACUCUAUUGUUAACUGGACAACAUUACAAUUUAUUUAGAAGAGAUAACUAAACAAUCCGUGUAUAUGGGAAAAACUUCAAAAUGUAUUUAAUUUAACCAGUAUCAUCUUUGCUGCGGCAUGUUUGUUGGGGGGCAACGCCAACGUGCCGCCCCUGGAGGUGCAACAGCUGAUGGACUUCUGUCGCAGGAGACGUCUUCCUGCAAUCAUUGGCUGUGAUGCGAACGCCCACAAUGUUGAUCACCGAAACAAACAGGGGGUGAGUGCCUUUCAGAAUAUACAAGCUGACCCGGCAAACUUCGUUUUGCCCAAUUAGAUUUUUGAUUGAAUUAUUUUCGAAGGUGACUUAGCAUGGUGUGGUUUGGAGGUACCGAUAUGUUGUGUAAAUAUAAAUCUGUUGGAAAGUCAAAAAUUUUAUUAGUUUUUUUUACAUAAAGCCUCAAAGUAAAUUUAAAUAUGAAAGUUUAUUAUUGCUUUUCCACACCACCGCUGUGGUUGCAAUAAAGGCGCGUUACCGACUUUUUUCUGGUGUCCCGUUCCCCUUGGGGCCUAUUUUCACCCAUAUAAAGCAAAUAUUCUACAUAUAUAUGUACAUGCACA